GACAACGUGGCCGAGUGGUUAAGGCGACAGAUUCGAAUUUGGAAUAUCUGUUUCCCUCUGGGAGCGCAGGUUCAAGUCCUGCCGUUGUCG